rnacentral:rRNA from 1 species
UGAGGAACAUGACCUUCGGCGGGGGAUAGCCGGCCCAACGGCCGGGUAAUACCGCGUACGACCACAUGGGGACAUCCCUGAGUGGUGAAAGCAGCAAUGCGCCGAUGGAGUGCCUCGCGGCCUAUCAGCUAGUUGGUGAGGUAACGGCUCACCAAGGCAACGACGGGUANCUGGUCUGAGAGGAUGGCCAGCCACAGUUGGGACUGAGACACGGCCCAGACCUCUACGGGAG